rnacentral:rRNA from 1 species
GACGAACGCUGGCGGCGUGCUUAACACAUGCAAGUCGAACGGAAAGGCCCUGCUUUUGUGGGGUGCUCGAGUGGCGAACGGGUGAGUAACACGUGAGUAACCUGCCCUUGACUUUGGGAUAACUUCAGGAAACUGGGGCUAAUACCGGAUAGGAGCUCCUGCUGCAUGGUGGGGGUUGGAAAGUUUCGGCGGUCGGGGAUGGACUCGCGGCUUAUCAGCUUGUUGGUGGGGUAGUGGCUUACCAAGGCUGUGACGGGUAGGCGGCCUGAGAGGGUGACCGGCGACAUUGGGACUAAGGUACGGCCCAGACUCCUACGGGAGGCAGCAGUGGGGAAUAUUGCACAAUGGGCGGAAGCCUGAUGCAGCAACGCCGCGUGCGGGAUGACGGCCUUCGGGUUGUAAACCGCUUUCGCCUGUGACGAAGCGUGAGUGACGGUAAUGGGUAAAGAAGCACCGGCUAACUACGUG